ensembl:snoRNA SNORD15 Small nucleolar RNA SNORD15
CUUCAGUGAAGAGAUGAUGACGAGUCUGACUGGAGGUGUUACCUUUGUCCAGGUGACCUACUCUGUGCUACGUUCUGUGGCACGGUUUUUAAGGUCCUUGGAUCGAAGUAACUUCCAAAAGAUGACCUAGAGGCAUUUGUCUGAGAAGG